CACCCCACCAAUUAAAUAUUAGGGCAAACUUUUUUAUUUCACUUUGUUCCAACACGUAGGCAUCCUCCACCUCUUUUCAAAACAGACUCUCCUUUCCUUUUUCUCUCAAUUGAGAAAAGGGAAUCGCUCAAUCUCAAUCAACAAGGCUAUUAAACUCUCAAUUUUAAAUCUAAAUUAGAGAGAGACCCACGAAGGAUACCAGCAAGUGCCAGAAAGUGAGCUAGCAGCUAUCUGGAAUAUGAAUAAUCUACAGCGUGGAUGGAUGUAUGAUAGGUUGGAUGUUCUAAAUAAAAGUACAUGAGUGGUAACAACAUUUGAUGCCCAUGUAAAAAAUGUCACAACAUUAAAUACAAGGAUGUUGGAAUUGUUAGAUAUCACUUUCUUCAUGAUGGAUUUGAUAAGGACUAUUUUGUUUGGAAACAUCAAGGAGAAAAAGAUGUGAUCGGUGAGAUUUCUUUGAUAAUGAUUUGAACAAUGGUUCUCAACUUGAAUUGGUAUAUGAUAUUCCAUAUCGACAAAUGAUUUUGGAUGCUGCUGGUCCCAACUCUAAACAUAAUUCGAGUUGGCAACCUUACAACAAUACUGAACCAAGGUCAUCUCAUCCGUAUUAACCUUCAAUUGAGGAGGAACAUGAAACUUUGAUGGACGAGGAGCAUAAUUUAGAGUCCCAAAAAUUUUAUGAUUUGUUGCACACUGCUGAUGUAAAAUUAUAUCCUGAUUCUUCCCUUCUCUCAACUUGCAGUAAUCUCUCAAAUGUUAAAUAUUAAGAUGGAGAAUGUUAUGUCACAAAGGGGUUGUAACCAAAUGAUGCAUUUGUUUAAAGAGGCUUUAUGGGAAGAUAACCUACUAUUUGAUCAUUAUUAUCAGACUAAGGAGCUAGAACGUAGCUUAGGUUUACCGGUUGAAAAUAUUGACUGUUGUGAAUCGGGAUGUAUGUUGUAUUGGGAAGACGAUGAACAUCUUACCUCUUGUAAAUUUUGUGGCAAAAAGAGGUAUAAGAAUUGAGUUGGCUCUCAUAAGAGAAAAUGGUCCCUUAUAAAAGGAUGUAUUAUUUUCCUUUGAUUCCUAGAUUGAAGAGAUUAUAUGCAUCCCAUACUACAGCUGCUGACAUAAGAUGGAAUCAUGAACAUAUAAAAGAGGAUGGUGUAAUGCAUCAUCCAUCAGACUCUGAAGCUUGGAAGAAAUUCAUUAAAACUCAUGCCGAUUAACCAAGAAAUGUAAUGUUGGGGUUAUUUACUGAUGAUUUCCAGCCAUUCAGUCAGUUUGGGAGAAAAUAUUCUUCAUGGCCAGUAAUUUUCGCUCCAUAUAAUUUACCUUCAGGGAUGUGCAUAAAAGAGGCUUAUAUUUUCUUAACCGUCAUUGUUCCAG